rnacentral:piRNA from 1 species
GUCACAGUGCUGCAGAGAUAUUGUUUAUGGCC